rnacentral:rRNA from 1 species
AUAUUUAGAGUUUGAUCCUGGCUCAGGACGAACGCUGGCGGUGCGCCUAAUGCAUGCAAGUCGAACGAGCGACCCGGGCUUGCCCGGUUAGCUAGUGGCGGACGGCUGAGUAACACGUAAGUAAUCUGCCCCGAAGAGGGGGAUAAUCUAGAGAAAUCUGGCCUAAUACCCCGUACCUUCCUCUCCAGCCUGCUGGAUUGGAAGAAAGGUCUAGGCCGCUUUGGGAGGAGCUUGCGGCUUAUCAGGUAGUUGGUGGGGUAAUGGCCUACCAAGCCGAAGACGAGUAACCGGUGUGAGAGCACGAUCGGUCAGAGGGGGACUGAGACACGGCCC